AGCGUGCGCCUCUUACCAUGCAGUCGACGGUGAAGCAGGAGCUUGCUCUUGUGGAUCAGUGGCGAACGGGUGAGUAACACGUGAGCAACCUGCCCCGGACUCUGGGAUAAGCGCUGGAAACGGCGUCUAAUACUGGAUAUGAGACGUGACCGCAUGGUCAACGUUUGGAAAGAUUUUUCGGUCUGGGAUGGGCUCGCGGCCUAUCAGCUUGUUGGUGAGGUAAUGGCUCACCAAGGCGUCGACGGGUAGCCGGCCUGAGAGGGUGACCGGCCACACUGGGACUGAGACACGGCCCAGACUCCUACGGGAGGCAGCAGUGGGGAAUAUUGCACAAUGGGCGAAAGCCUGAUGCAGCAACGCCGCGUGAGGGAUGACGGCCUUCGGGUUGUAAACCUCUUUUAGCAGGGAAGAAGCGAGAGUGACGGUACCUGCAGAAAAAGCGCCGGCUAACUACGUGCCAGCAGCCGCGGUAAUACGUAGGGCGCAAGCGUUAUCCGGAAUUAUUGGGCGUAAAGAGCUCGUAGGCGGUCUGUCGCGUCUGCUGUGAAAUCUGGAGGCUCAACCUCCAGCCUGCAGUGGGUACGGGCAGACUAGAGUGCGGUAGGGGAGAUUGGAAUUCCUGGUGUAGCGGUGGAAUGCGCAGAUAUCAGGAGGAACACCGAUGGCGAAGGCAGAUCUCUGGGCCGUAACUGACGCUGAGGAGCGAAAGGGUGGGGAGCAAACAGGCUUAGAUACCCUGGUAGUCCACCCCGUAAACGUUGGGAACUAGUUGUGGGGUCCUUUCCACGGAUUCCGUGACGCAGCUAACGCAUUAAGUUCCCCGCCUGGGGAGUACGGCCGCAAGGCUAAAACUCAAAGGAAUUGACGGGGACCCGCACAAGCGGCGGAGCAUGCGGAUUAAUUCGAUGCAACGCGAAGAACCUUACCAAGGCUUGACAUACACGAGAACGGGCCAGAAUGGUCAACUCUUUGGACACUCGUGAACAGGUGGUGCAUGAUUGUCGUCAGCUCGUGUCGUGAGAUGUGGUUAGUCCCGCACGAGCGCAACCCUCGUUCUAUGUUGCAGCACGUAUGGUGCACUCAUGGGCAUACUGCCGGGUCAACUUCGGGAGAAAGGGUGGGAUGACGUCCA
rnacentral:rRNA from 1 species